rnacentral:rRNA from 1 species
AUGGAGUAUAGGUCGUAUCAGGCUUCCGUAGGGUGACCUGCGUCAGGAUCAUUA